UACGUAGGUGGCGAGCGUUGUCCGGAUUUACUGGGCGUAAAGGGAGCGUAGGCGGACUUUUAAGUGAGAUGUGAAAUACCCGGGCUCAACUUGGGUGCUGCAUUUCAAACUGGAAGUCUAGAGUGCAGGAGAGGAGAAUGGAAUUCCUAGUGUAGCGGUGAAAUGCGUAGAGAUUAGAAAGAACACCAGUGGCGAAGGCGAUUCUCUGGACUGUAACUGACGCUGAGGCUCGAAAGCGUGGGGAGCAAACAGGAUUAGAUACCCGU
rnacentral:rRNA from 1 species